UGGAGUCUGUAACCCGAACUCCAUGAAGUUGGAUUCGCUAGUAAUCGCGCAUCAGCCAUGGCGCGGUGAAUACGUUCCCGGGCCUUGUACACACCGCCCGUCAAGCCAUGGAAGCCGGGGGUGCCUGAAGUCCGUAACCGUGAGGAUCGGCCUAGGGCAAAACUGGUAACUGGGGCUAAGUCGUAACAAGGUAGC
rnacentral:rRNA from 1 species